rnacentral:lncRNA from 1 species
CUCAGAACGAGGCUUUCAUUUUUUUUUUUCUUUAAAUCUGUGUCAGUUCACAAAUGCCAGUCUGUAAGGGGCAUCAAACUGAAAAAUACAGGUUGAAAUAAAGUGGCUGAAGCCCAGGAAAAAGAGGCUAUUUCAGCAGUCUGAAGGGCUGAGCAGAGAGGCUUCUUUUCCCUAUAAUAAGGGUCAGAUCCUUGAAGAGCUGGCUUCAUGCGGAUACGUGAAUGAUGAGGCUGGCAGAGUCCUGGGCGAGAGAGCAGGACCCCAGUAAGGCCCAAUUCUGCCCUGGGAGUGGUAGUCAGUGGAAACUCAGGGUUCCAAGCUUCUCUUCUCAAAUGACUUGGAGGUUCUGUUUAUAGGUCAUUCUACCUGAAGGAUCCAUGUAUCAAGAUAGCAGCCGGACAGCAUGGACCAGGUUUAUACCUGGGGACAGUAAAGAGCAUCAUAUCUUGGCAAAACCAAGCAAAACAGAUGUGGGUUCUAAUUCUUCCUCUACCACGUGGCCAAAUUGCUUCCAUUUACAUCAUCUAGAGACAGCAAGGAAGCGUGUGAUUCUCAUGCCUGGAUUUGUCAUGUUGGGGGACUUGGACAAGGCAAUUUCUUUCACAGAUAGCAGUUUCCCUAUUUGGGAAAUAAAGCAUCCACCCUUUAAUAUAACUAUAAACUCUUGAGAAUGACCUCCAGAAAGUUAUGGGCCAGAUGAUCCAAUCAUGGUAAGUAACCCCAAAUUUUGUAAUUCAAUCAAUGUCACGUUCCUUUUUUUUUUUUUUUUUGGUCUUUUCCAGGGCCGCACCCAUGGCAUAUGGAGGUUUACAGGCUAGGAGUCUAAUCAGAGCUGUAGCUGCUGGCCUACGCCAGAGCCACAGCAAUGUGGGAUCCGAGCCGCAUCUGUGACCUACACCCCAACUCACAGCAGUGCCAGAUCCUCAACCCACUGAGCGAGGCCAGGGAUCAAACCCACAACCUCAUGGUUCCUAGUCAGAUUCGUUAACCACUGAGCACGACAGGAACUCCUCAAGUUCCUUCUUAAUAUAAAUGCUCUUUGGAUUUAUAUAACACUUGUUUUAAAACAAUGCUUGGGACUCUUUUUUUUUUUUUUUUUUUUUUUUCUUUUUAAGGCCUCAUCCAUGGCAUUUGGAAGUUCCCAGGCUAGGGGUUGAAUCAGAACUGCAGCUGCC